UUCAUUUAGGCUUGCUGUGUUCAGUUUUGUUUACUUAUGCUUAAGCAGAUCAGAACCUCAGUCAUAGGGAAUGGUGCUACCCACAGUGGGCUGGCUCAUCCCACAUCAAUAAACUGGAUUAAGACCAUUCUCUGAAGCCAUGCCCAACUCUCUAAGACUGUUUUCCCAGGUGAUGACUGUAGGUCAAGUUGACAGCGCUAACCAUCACAAUAUGAUACCAGCGUUGUUACAAAUACAUGACUUUUUGUAAGAAUAAUUUUUUUCCUCCUCCUCCUCUUCAUCUUUGGUUUAUUGAGACAGGGUUUCUCUGUAUAGCUCUGGCUAUCUUGGAACUCACUGUGCAGACCAGGCUGGCCUCAAAUUCAGAGAUCCAUCUGUCUCUGCCUUCCAAGUGCUGACAUUAAAGCUGUGCGCCACCACUGCCUGGCUGAGAAUAUGUUUCCUAUUGAUUCUAAACUAGGAAGACUUCUUGAUCUUUUAUGUGAUGAGAUGGGAAUAUUUUAUAGAAAAUUUAAAUCAACCUAUAACUCUCUCGGAAAAGUACAUAUUUUGGCGGUUAGUUCAAGAUGAGGUAGUGAACUUUUAAAAAAUUCACAGACAGAAACAAUUAUCCCAGAACCUCAUUUAUUUAAGGGUUUUUUUACCCCUUCCCAUGUUUGUCCGGGAUUUGCUCUUUGAUGCUUCAGAUUGAAGUGGGGGCAAAAUGAUAAUUCUGAUUUUUUUUAUUUUGUAACUUCUUCCACUGUGACCAGAAGGGAGAUUUCCCAUGGUAGUAGUGGUUCUUUUUAAGCAAAGGGAAAACUUUUUUUUCUCUAUUGAGAAAUUAUCUUUUUUUUUUUUUCUAAUAACCACUGAGGUAACUGGCUGUAUUCUGAGUUAAUAUGGUUAUCUAGCUUCAUUAACAUGCUGCAUUUCCAUCUUUUCAGGGUGUGAACAACUUCGUGCAGUACAAGUUUAGUCACUUGCCAUCGAAAGAGAGGCAGACAACGAUCGAGCUGGCCAAGAUGUUUCUGAACCGCAUCAACUACUGGCAUCUGGAGGCUCCAUCUCAGCGGAGACUACGGUCUCCCAAUGAUGACAUCUCUGGAUACAAGGAAAACUACACAAGGUAACUGAGUUCGAAUCCUGCAGCCUGGCUCCAAAGAGAACCUUUCAAGGCAUGAAAUUACUAUUCACUUCUGCUCUGCUCAGUGACUCCAUUCACUCAGACAGCAUGCCUAUGCAGUUUAGUUUCAAGUUCUAGUUUUAAUUAAUUAAUUAAUUAAUUAAUAAUGUAUUUAUAUUUAUUUGUCUCUCUGCCCUGCCAUGUAUGUGGGGGUUGUAGAAACAGGCUUGUAGGGAUCGGCUCUCUCUACCAUGUGAUACAGAGAAAUGUUACCCAGUCCUCAGGUUUGGUGGCAAGAACCAUUAUCCACUGAGCCAUCUUACUAGCCCUGAUGAUAUUUUAGAUAAAUUAAAUUAAAUAGGGUUAAUUUAACUUCUAGUUUUUAUUUCUUCAAUGUGGCUACUAUGUGAUUUACAACAUCUACAGGAGCCAAGACACAUGCCUUUAAAUCCAACAUUUGAGAGGCAGAAGCAAGCAGAUCUCUGAAAAGACCAGCUUAGUCUACUUUAGUGAGUUCCAUAUUAUAUGCUCAACCAAUGCUAUAUAAUAAGACACUGUCACAAAGAAAAAAAUGUUAGAACAUGGCUUAUAUUUUUUCAUUUAACUUUUUGGUUUUAAUUUUAAUGAUUACAAUAUCAUAUAGUAUAUUGACAUGAAGGAUAAAUUAGAAAACAAUUCUGCAUGUUCAUUUUCCAAAAUAUAAAGGCUUACAUUCAUCUUCAGUUAAGUAGCUGUGGGAAGAAAUUUUAUCUCUUUCCAUGAUAUUCAUACCAUGUAUGGACUUGUUUGAGAGAGGGUGCAUGUAGCCCGGGUAUCCUUGAACUCACUAUAUAGCCCAGGUGAAUUCUGAGAUUACAGGUGUGUACCACCAAUCCUGUGCUUGUAGCUCUUACUGGAGAAAAUUAUUGUUUCAUCAAGAAAAAAAGGGACAAAAG
rnacentral:lncRNA from 1 species